rnacentral:lncRNA from 1 species
AAACCCCUAAUGCUGACUAAAGGAAAGAGUUCAGUUUAGGGUUUAAACCCUAAUGUUGACUGAAUGGAAAAAAGUUCAGUUUAGGGUUUAAAACCCUAAUGCUGACAAAAGGAAGAGUUUAGUUUAGGGUUUAAAACCCUAAUACUGACUAAAGGAAAGAGUUCAGUUUAGGGUUUAAAACCCUAAUGCUAACUAAAGGAAAAGUUCAGUUUAGGGUUUAAAACCCUAAUGCUGACUGAAUGGAAAAAGUUUAGUUUAGGGUUUAAAACCCUAAUGCUGAUUAAAGGAAAAGUUCAGUUUAGGGUUUAAAACCCUAGUGCUGUCUGAAUGGAAAAAUCCAGUUUAUGGUUUAAAACCCUAAUGCCAACUAAAGGAAAGAGUUCAGUUUAGGGUUUAAAACCCUAAUGCUGACUAAAUGGAAAAAUUCAGUUUAGGGUUUAAAACCCUAAUGCUGAUUAAAGGAAAGAGUUCAGUUUAGGGUUUAAAACCCUAAUGCUGACUGAAUGGAAAAAGUUCAGUUUGGGGUUUAAAACCCUAAUGCUGACUAAAGGGAAAAGUUCAGUUUAGGGUUUAAAACCCUAAUGCUGACUGAAAGGAAAAGUUCAGUUUAGGGUUAAAACCCUAAUGCUGACUAAAGGGAAAUAGUUCAG